rnacentral:rRNA from 1 species
CCGUAGCCCAAGAGAUCGGGAUAACACCUGGAAACAGAUGCUAAUACCGGAUAACAACAGAUGAUGCCUAUCAACUGUUUAAAAGAUGGUUCUGCUAUCACUCCUGGAUGGACCUGCGGUGCAUUAGCUAGUUGGUAGGGUAACGGCCUACCAAGGCGAUGAUGCAUAGCCGAGUUGAGAGACUGAUCGGCCACAUUGGGACUGAGACACGGCCCAAACUCCUACGGGAGGCAGCAGCC